rnacentral:RNase_P_RNA from 1 species
UUGGGUAGUCGGAUGGUUGCUCCGAGGCAGCGCUUCGGAGAGGAAAGUCCGGGCUCCAUAGAGACACGGUGCCGGGUAACGCCCGGCGGGGGUAACCCUAGGGAAAGUGCCNCAGAAAAUAUACCGCCANGGGNAAAUNNUUGNNNGUGGNAAGGGUGAAAAGGUGUGGUAAGAGCGCNCCGCGUUACNCGGNAACGGGGACGGCAUGGNAAACCCCACCGGGAGCAAGACCAAGUUGGAGCAGCGUGAUCUGGCUAUAAUAUGCUAAGAUCCGGUCAGGUCUCUGGGGCCGCUGCUCGGGUGGGUCGCUUGAGGCGACUGGUAACAGUCGUCCAAGAUGAAUAAUCAUCCUCCGUGUAUGCGGAGACAGAACCCGGCUUAUAGACUACCCAAUUCC